rnacentral:lncRNA from 12 species
AUGCUCUCAGUGACCAUGUUCAUGUAUGUCACCAGCCUUAGUCUGAGAAUGUCUGUGAAACCAAGAGAAGAAGACUUCUCUUCCUCAGCCCACAGGGAAAAACAAAACAAAACAAAAAAGGCCUUCUUCAGGAGUCUCCAGAUAUAUAUUGAUGGAUCCUACAGGGAGGUCCACAUAAUGACUCGUCUCUGGCCUGAUGUCCCAGCAUCUGCUACACGUUUCCUUCAACUCCAGGAAGCUGCACAUCAAGAAGGCAUCAUCAUUAUGGUAAGGUCUGUGCUGCUGCUGCAGCUGUGUGACAUGACUACCCACAUUCCUCUAUUUAUACAGUCAAGCUACUAUUCAGGAUCCAUCUCCAGUUAUUCCUUCCCCUGUGUAUCCAUUCAUCACAUACUGUUGAGAGUCAGUUAUAUACCAGACACUGUUCCAGGUUAACAGAAACACAGCAGUCAAUGAAUGCCCCUCAUAAAGUUUACAUUCUCAAGUAGAAAAUAGACAUAAGUAACAAACACUGAUCAAAAAGCCAACAACUGUUGGUAUGGAUGUGGAGAAACCGGAACUCCAGCACACUUUUGACGGGAAUACAAAAUGGUGCAGCUGCUAUAGAAAGCAUGAUAGAGGUUCCUCAAAGAAUUAAAAGUGGUCAUUGAAAUCAGCGUCUUGAAAAAUUUUGCACUCCUUUGAUCACUACAACACUAUUCAUGAUAGCCAAGAUGUGGCAAUAACCUAAAUGUCCACCAGUAGGUGAAUGGAUAAAGAAAAUGUGAUAUAUACAUGCAACAGAAUAUACUUUUCAGCUUAAAAAAAGAAAUUCUGCAGUAUGUAACAUGGAUGAGUCAGAAGGUAGGUUCCAAGUGGAUAGUCCUAGGAAGACAGAUACUGCAUGACUCCCUUUGUGUGAGAUAUCUAAAAUUAUCAAAUGCAUAGAAGAAAAGAGUGGAAUAGGGAUUUCCAGAGAUGAGGGGGAAGGAGAACUGGGGAGUUACUAAUCAAUAAGCAUGAAGUUUUACUCAAGCAAGAUGAAUAAACUCUAGAUAUCUACUGUACA